GGAUUAGAUACCCUGGUAGUCCACGCCGUAAACGAUGACAACUAGCUGUUGGAAAGCUAUGCUUUUCAGUGGCGCAGCUAACGUCUUAAGUUGUCCGCCUGGGGAGUACGGCCGCAAGGCUAAAACUCAAAGGAAUUGACGGGGACCCGCACAAGCGGUGGAUUAUGUGGUUUAAUUCGAUGCAACGCGAAGAACCUUACCUGGACUUGACAUGUUAGUGACCGUUCUGUGAAAGCAGUCCAUUUUUUAUGCUUGCAUAAAAACACUAUCACAGGUGAUGCAUGGCUGUCGUCAGCUCGUGCCG
rnacentral:rRNA from 1 species